rnacentral:sRNA from 1 species
GUCAAAGUUUGCUCUUUCUGCUUUGACUGACAAAAUAACUCAGAUAAUUUCAGUUGCCUUACUGAUCAACAUACAGACAGAACAAAAUACAAUAAACAGUGGAAAAACAUGGGUUAUAUGCUGUUCGUUCUAUAUGUAAUGUAUGGAUUACUUUUCCCUAUAUAUAUAAGAAUAUUUGGUAGGAUAUACUUUCUAUUGGCGGAUCUUUCCGGACGGAACGGACAGGCUUGUGAAAAGUGCUUAGCGGAAAAAUCGAUUGAAGAGAGAUCCGAUUUUCUACGAGCGGGCCUAACGGAAUGAAAUGGCGAUGUUUGGUUGGAUAAUAAUGGUUGGAAUGCCCAAUAGCGCUUUGCAAGAGGUAGAUAAUAUACUGAACAUUAUAACAACAGCUACGAACUUGGACGGUGAUUUUGUCAAGAUGAUUAAGAACGAAGCGUUGGCAAAUUUGCCACUGGAAA